rnacentral:lncRNA from 1 species
CGGACGCGCGGCGGGCCCUCGGGGUCCCGGGCUUCCCGCUGGGAGCGGGGGCGGGGGCGGCGCGCCGAGGUGAGACCCCCCCCGACUGCCCCCAGGCCUCGGGGGAUGGGGAGCCGCCGCUGUCCUCCCAUUCCGAGCAGUUGGCGGGCGGGGGCCGGAGGGACCCCUGGCGCCCUCUGGCGCGUCCCUGUCACCGGCCCGGGUCAAGUUCCUCGCCUCACGCCUCCCAGCCCGAGUCCUCUUGGAAGGGUUUUUCACCUGCCGUGUUUACAGCCACCGGCCAGGGGGAAAGUCUAGCAAGUCAAGACAAGGAAAGGGGGUCGGGGUGGGGGGGGUGUCUCUUUUCUCCGCUUUUGUUGGGUGGACUCAGAAUUUCUCGAUUUUCCUCUGGGGUAGUAUUUUCACGUUGCCAUCUAACUACGUAAACAAGGACAAAAGAAUAAUGCGUCUGAGACGAUUUUAACUUUUAUGUCGAAACUUUGUGCCAAACCAACCACCCGAUUAAGACGCGGAGAUGAUUUAUCUUCACACUCAGAUUAGCUGUUCAGCAGGGUGAAGAAGUUACACACAGACCAUGUAUAAGUUGUUUGGUGGUUAAAAAACUGGUUCGUUAUUAAUGAUUUAAUGCUCCGAGCAAGAGGUUUAAAGUCCUCUGUCAAAUCAAAUUCGGAAUUUGUUUUUUUUAAUGUAAAAUCCCAUAGA